AACGCACAUUGCGCCCUUUGGCAUUCCGAAGGGCAUGCCCGUUCGAGCGUCAUUACACCCCUCAAGCCUGGCUUGGUAUUGGGCGACGGCAGUCUGCCGCGCCUCGAAGUGAUCGGCUGGACGGUUUGAAUCUCAGCGUUGUGGUUUCAUCAAUUCGCUGGCGAGGACGACCGGACGCGCCGUUAAACCUCAAUCACAGGUUGACCUCGGAUCGGGUAGGGAUACCCGCUGAACUUAA
rnacentral:misc_RNA from 1 species